GAGAUCUUAUGGGUUUCACCUCUAGCCUACCCCAACUUGUUUGGGACUAAAGGCUUUGUCGUUGUUGUUGUUGAAACAGCAAACUGACAUGUAUCAGCGCAUUUCUUUAUCUACUGCUUUCAGGAACACUUGGCGGGAUCCAGUACUUUGGAAAACUUGAAGAACAUUAUUACUGGGGUAACGGGGUUAAGCUCUACAAACGACACGUAGACACUCUCUUUGCUAUAAUCUGGUAAAAAAUAGAGAUCAACUACUAUGUGUGCACAAUCAAGCAAGGCUAGCGCGUGUACUUUCAGGUACACUAUACCGAAGAGAACCUGCUCGACUACAUUAUUCCAAACAAUGAUACACUCAUGGUGAAGCUUGCAGAUAGUCCUUUGCGUGCCGAAUGUUGCAUUAUGCUAGGAACUGACAAGAGGGCCACUAUAACCACCAACUGGUCCGAGUUUCGAACUCAAACCGCACAAUCAAAGUCACCACAAUUCCUGUGUUAAUGUAAUGUAGAACUAAGUACUCCUAAUUAUGCUCUAUUGAGUGAUGAACCUAUGGCUGCCUUUUGGACCCUGCUGUCUGAUGCUUUUCUACAUAGUAGGCCUAUGUCGUUGCUUAUGUAAACUGCACUCUUCUCAGUAAGAUGGUUCAUGUUAAGAUCCA